rnacentral:rRNA from 1 species
UACGUAGGGGGCAAGCGUUGUCCGGAAUCAUUGGGCGUAAAGUGUGCGCAGGCGGCCGCGCAAGUCGAGUGUGAAAGCCCCGAGCUUAACUUGGGAAUUGCGCUCGAAACUACGUGGCUGGAGUGUGGCAGAGGAAGGUGGAAUUCCAGGUGUAGCGGUGAAAUGCGUAGAGAUGCGGAGGAACACCGAUGGCGAAGGCAGCCCCCUGGGCCGACAUUGACGCUCAGGCACGAAAGCGUGGGGAGCAAACAGG